AGGAGAGGUUUGCGUGGAAGUUAUCCACAACUUUGGUGGCUGGGGCGGGGGAGGGUCUACCGUGAUGCUAACCCCAUUGUGGUUGCCGGGCGACUACGGGACUCUCAGAAUCGAGCCGCACCGCGUCCCCAGGGAUCCGCCAGCACCGGUGGAGGAGGCUGCGGGCGGCGCGCACWGGACAGGGCCCAUGCAGUUACAGGUGUUUUUUAGAGGACACCCACGAACCACAGUAAAUAUGGAUUGAAUGAUAGAAGUGCAAUGACCAAUUAAGAAGCAAUUAGAAAUCCACUGUAGUAAUCCAGCAAGAAAUAAUGGUCUCCUGGACUGAGGUGGUAUUAAUGGAAAUGAAGGGAACAGAUGAAUUUUGGAUCUACUGGAGAUAAAGAACUGACGAGACUUGAAGAGUGAGAAUGCACAAGUCGGGUGAGGAGAGGAAGGAAGGAACCAAGGACCACCAACAGGACUGAACAACUUGGCGGGUGAUGGUGCAUGUUAUGGAAAAGGUGGAUGAGAACUGACACGGGCAUGCAAAUCAAGAAUUUCAUUUUGGCAUGCUAACUUUGAACUGCUGUUGAGAGGGUCAAAUGGAAACAGUGAGCCUAAAGACAGACAGUUCUCUGACUCUAGGCCCUCGUCUUUCCCUGGGCUUCUCAAGACCUGUGAUGUGGUGUGGCAUAAAGGGAUGAGCUGGGCUCAUAGGAUUUCCUUCUUUCUGAGUCUGAACUGGAAGUACUGAAUCAACCUGGCAGUUGGCAGCAGAGGAUAACCUGCCAAGUCAUGAUUUGGGAAAAGAACCAUUAAGGACCAUGAUGAAUAGAUGACAUGGGACAGUAUGGUAGAGGCGGAGGACAUUCUUUGUGAGCAAUAAGGGCAGCUGGAAGAGAGAGGCAAGUUUAUGAGAAGAAGCUGUGUCUGGGACUAGACCUCAGGGUGGCAGUGUCUUGCAGUUGAGGUGUUUAACUGCUUUUGAGUCAGAUAGAAUCUCCUCUUUCAGACCGUGAAGCAACAGCAUGCAAAUUGCUAGAAAGUCUGUUUAAGAAAUAACAACAACAACAACAAAAUAAAAUUCAGAAUGAGAAGGAGUCUCA
rnacentral:lncRNA from 1 species